CUUGACGAGCAGCCGAACGACAAAGUCACGGCCAAGCGUGUAAGAGGUCAGUUGGCAAAGAAGCGCGUCCAUCGCGUCAAAGAACUAGAGCCCACAACGGAACUCUUCGGCUCGGCAGGUUGUCGUCGCGCCAACCUACUCGCACACCUUCGCUGCUCCAGAAGACGAGUUCUCAACGUGUACGAUAGUGUCUGCGCUUUUUAUUUAAGGACGCACUGCGUCGACGAAUUCCAGCCACUCAGUCAGUGUCGGUCGACAAUUACCAACGGCCGCAUCCACCAAAACUAUAUCAAAAUGUUCAAAAUUUCAUUUUUUAUCCUCCUAAGUGCAUUCUGCGGUGAUACACUUGCAAGAAAUGGAAGAAAUCCUUAUUAUUAUCUGCAACAAUGCAGUCGAUCCGAUCCGGAUGUAAACGAUUGUUUGGUGAAUUCAGCGAAUAAUCUCAUGCAUUAUAUUCGAUCCAGAGGAAUUCCUGGGUUGGGAAUUGAAAACCAGAACCAAUUCUUAUUGAUGAGAUUGGGAUUGCUUUGGGAAGUGGACCAGAUGGAUACAGAGCGAAAUUUAGACAAAUUAAUGCUUUUGGUGUGAGCAAUUUGACUAUGACAGCAGUCAGAUCUGACGUAGACACUCAUCAAUUCCAGUUUACUUUUACAUUCCACACAUUUCCGCG